rnacentral:rRNA from 1 species
GAUGAACGCUGGCGGCGUGCCUAAUACAUGCAAGUCGAGCGAACGGACGAGAAGCUUGCUUCUCUGAUGUUAGCGGCGGACGGGUGAGUAACACGUGGAUAACCUACCUAUAAGACUGGGAUAACUUCGGGAAACCGGAGCUAAUACCGGAUGAUAUUUUGAACCGCAUGGUUCAAAAGUGAAAGACGGUCUUGCUGUCACUUAUAGAUGGAUCCGCGCUGCAUUAGCUAGUUGGUAAGGUAACGGCUUACCAAGGCAACGAUGCAUAGCCGACCUGAGAGACGGAUCGGCCACACUGGAACUGAGACACGGUCCAGACUCCUACGGGAGGCAGCAGUAGGGAAUCUUCCGCAAUGGGCGAAAGCCUGACGGAGCAACGCCGCGUGAGUGAUGAAGGUCUUCGGAUCGUAAAACUCUGUUAUUAGGGAAGAACAUAUGUGUAAGUAACUGUGCACAUCUUGACGGUACCUAAUCAGAAAGCCACGGCUAACUACGUG